AACGAACGCUGGCGGCAUGCCUAACACAUGCAAGUCGAACGAAGUCUUCGGACUUAGUGGCGCACGGGUGCGUAACGCGUGGGAAUCUGCCCUUGGGUGCGGAAUAACUUCUCGAAGGGGAUGCUAAUACCGCAUAAUGUCGUAAGACCAAAGAUUUAUCGCCCAAGGAUGAGCCCGCGUAAGAUUAGCUAGUUGGUGGGGUAAAAGCCUACCAAGGCGACGAUCUUUAGCUGGUCUGAGAGGAUGAUCAGCCACGCUGGGACUGAGACACGGCCCAGACUCCUACGGGAGGCAGCAGUGGGGAAUAUUGGACAAUGGGCGAAAGCCUGAUCCAGCAAUGCCGCGUGAGUGAUGAAGGCCCUAGGGUUGUAAGCUCUUUUACCAGGGAUGAUAAUGACAGUACCUGGAGAAUAAGCUCCGGCUAACUCCGU
rnacentral:rRNA from 1 species